AUCGAACGCUGGCGGCAGGCUUAACACAUGCAAGUCGAGCGGAGUGAUGGUGCUCGCACUAUCACUUAGCGGCGGGCGGGUGAGUAAUGCUCAGGAAUCUGCCUAUUAGUGGGGGACAACAUCUCGAAAGGGAUGCUAAUACCGCAUACGUCCUACGGGAGAAAGCAGGGGAUCACUUGUGACCUUGCGCUAAUAGAUGAGCCUAAGUCGGAUUAGCUAGUUGGUGGGGUAAAGGCCUACCAAGGCGACGAUCUGUAGCGGGUCUGAGAGGAUGAUCCGCCACACUGGGACUGAGACACGGCCCAGACUCCUACGGGAGGCAGCAGUGGGGAAUAUUGGACAAUGGGGGGAACCCUGAUCCAGCCAUGCCGCGUGUGUGAAGAAGGCCUUAUGGUUGUAAAGCACUUUAAGCGAGGAGGAGGCUCUUUUGGUUAAUACCCAAGAUGAGUGGACGUUACUCGCAGAAUAAGCACCGGCUAACUUCGUGCCAGCCGCCGCUGUAA
rnacentral:rRNA from 1 species